UACGAAGGGGGCUAGCGUUGUUCGGAAUUACUGGGCGUAAAGGGCGCGUAGGCGGCCGUUUAAGUUAGGUGUGAAAGUCCUGGGCUCAACCUGGGGACUGCACUUAAUACUGGAUGGCUUGAAUUCGGGAGAGGAUAGCGGAAUUCCCAGUGUAGAGGUGAAAUUCGUAGAUAUUGGGAAGAACACCGGUGGCGAAGGCGGCUCACUGGUCCGGUACUGACGCUGAGGUGCGAAAGCGUGGGGAGCAAACAGG
rnacentral:rRNA from 1 species